GGUUUGUGGCCCUAAUGUAACUGUAUGGACAUAAAUGGGUGAUAUACAGAUAUGCAAACACAUACACACACACACAAAAAAAAAUUUUUUUUUUUUACACUGUGGGGUGUAUAUAUAUGUGUGAGAUACACACAUACAAAUACAUACAUCACCACCUUCCCCCACACACACUCCCCACAGGCACAUACACCCCCACCUCUCUCUCUCUCACACACACACACACCCCAUACAUACAUACACACUCUCCACACACCACACCCCCACUUACACACAUUGUACCCCACACACACACUCCCCACAGGCACAUAUAUCCCCCCACCUCUCACACACAUGUACACACCACACCCCAUACAUACAUAUAUACUCUCCGCAUACCACACCCCCACUGACACAGCUUCACCCUACACACUACACACACACUACACACACACUCCCCACUGGCACAUACACACAUACACAUCCCAUCCCAUGCACACAUAUAUACUCUCCACACACCACACCCCCACUGACACACAUUAUACCCCCACACACUCCACACACACACACACUUUCCACAGGCACAUACAAACCUACACACAUCUAUCACACACACACCACACUCCACACACAUACUCCACACACUUUACCACAAACACACACACACACCAAAUAUGAAUUCCAAAAACAUGAAAGAAAACAAAGAAAGAUUAAAAAUUCUCAGAUUUAUUAGUUGUGAUGGUACAGGUUAUGUGUCAACUUCCCUAAGCCAUGAUUCUCAGUGGUUUGGCAGACAUUAUGUAAUCAUCCUCCAUUUUGUGAUCUGAUGUGCGCAGCCAAUCAGUUGAAUGGGAAGUCUCCUUGGGGGUGUUGCCUGCAUCCAAUAUAUAUGGAUGCUCUGGCAAAGCUCACCCUCUCUGGAACUUGCAUCUGACUCGUCAGUUUCUGACCUCCAGUUCCUUGGGACUUGAGCCAGCAGCCUACUGUGUACCUGCAGAUUUUGGGUUCGUCAGCUCCAGCAACCACAUGAGUCAAGAGAAGCCUUUAGCCUGACACCUGACCCAUGGAUUUGGGACCUGCUGGCCUCCACAACUGCGUGAGCCAUUUCCUUGAAAUCUCUCUCUCAAUCUCAUACACAUACACACACACACUCACACACAGAGCCCUAGUGGUGCAGUGGUUAAGAGCUCGGCUGCUAACCAAAAUGUCAGCAGUUUACUCUGCCCCAUAGGGUCGCUAUGAGUUGGAAUCGACUCGACAGCAACGUGUUUGGUUUUUUUGGUUAUAUAUACCCACACAUGCCUCACUAGGUUUUCUUCUCUAGAGAACUCAGCCUAAGACACUAGUGUUCAAAGAAAUUUAAAUUUAAAAAAAUGUUUAAUUGAUGACGUUUAAAAAAAAAAAAAAGACUACUCUGUGUGGACCAGAUCUGAAUGUAGACUGCCUGGAUGGAGCUCCAGGCCCUACUGCUUACUUGCUAGGUGACGUUGGGCAGGGUCCUCUGUGUCUCCUUUAACUCAUCUGUGAUACGGGGAUAUCAGUGCCUACUUCAGAGUGAUGUCUGUGAGAAUUUAAUGAGUAAAAAAAUAUGUCACAUGCUUAGAACAGUGCAGGCCACACUGGGAGAACUACACACAUGCUCGCCCUGGUUACUGUUACCAUUACUGUUGCUGUUGUUGACGGGUCAUGGAAUGUGCUCCCUCAUACACUAGUGGUGGGAACGCCUCUCCAGAAGGCACCUUGGCAAUGUAUAAUUUAACAUUUGUCAGUUGCAUGACUUAGCAAUUCCAUCUGCAGGGCUUUACUCCGAGAAAAUAAACAGAGAAGCCCUCAUGGAUUUCUGUUAACAGAUAUUCAUUACAGCAUUAUUACUAGCAAAGAUGAAAGAGACAAAAAAAAAGGAAGCAACCAGAAGUACCUACACCAGGAGCUUGGUUCUGGUGCUGUCUGCCUGGCUCCUCCAGCAAGAAACCUUGAAGUCAUCUUGUUCCUCCCUCACAUCCAGUUAACCGCCAAGCUCUGUUGUUUCCACCUCCUCUGUCACGAAAGGGACCACUUCCCCUAUUUAUCCCUCAGGGUUCUGCUUAAAUAUUACUUCCUCAGAGGAGCCUUGGCAUUCCCCUUCCCACCAGUAGCCAUGUUAGGUCCCUCUGUUGAAUGCUCAUGUUAUGUUCUCCUUUCUCAAGGCACUCAUCACUUUGGUAAUGAUUCGUUCCCCACUUCUGUCUCCCCCACCAUAUUAUAAGUCCCCCGAAGACCAGGACGCUGGCUGCCUUAUUUACUACUGUAUUACAAAAGCCUAAAAUGGUGCCUGACACACACAAUAUGUCUCCUGACUGAAUAAACAAAUAAAAGAAGGAAUGUCAUUCAGCCUUAAAGUCACCUUCUCAAAGAAUCCAUAUGGCAAAAUACUCAGGAUACAAUAUUAAAUCAGGAAAAAGCCUACAAAGUUGUAUAUACGGUAUGACGUUAAUGUUAUUAGACACAAAUCUAUGUAUAAAAGUCAGAAGAAAGGCACUAAAUUGUUAGCAGCGGUUACUCCUGGCAAUUUUUACUUUAUGUAUGUAUUUUCCAAUAAAUGUCUACUUCCUUUAUAAUCAUGAAAACCGUGAAUAAGCUAGAUGGACAUACCAAGGGAUCCAGGACUUUUGGAAUGAGCCAUAUUUCAGUUCAGGGUCUCUAUGCCCACACUGGAACUCACCCACAACGUACAUCUAUUAAAGCAGUCCAGACAGAAUCCACAGUGAUUCCUCUAAUGAUGAGCUUCCUGCCUUUCUCAUGGGGACAUAUUAGGCUGAGUGCUGAGAGAUGGCAGCUACUGGUUUCAGAAGGAUAACAUACAUUUCCUUCUUUUUCCUAACAGAAAAAUUCAGGAUAAACUUGUCUUUUUUCCUCCUAAGUCACUGUACUCACACAUUCUGGCUAAAAUCUUAAAGGUUGUUAUAGGAGAUCACACAGUGUCUUUUUAUCUUUUGCAGUAAUUGUAGCAGUAGAACUGUCAGAGUGCCACCAAGCCAGACCUCUUGGCCUUGGGAAUUCUUAUGGGCCCAAGAACCCACCACAAAGAUAGGUGGCCUUUUGGAUGGACCGAGGGAGGGAUGGAAUCUAGUGGAAGCUGCAUCCUUAGGAACUUGCAAGCAGUAGUUUUAGUCUUGAUCCAGACCCUGGAUUUCUUCUAUUGCCUUUUUUUCUCAGUGCUUCAGUUUUCCCUUCAGUAACUUGAGGAUGUUAAUGCCCCUCUCUUAAGGUAGUUUUAAGCAGUAGUGGAGUUUACAGCACUACCAUAAGGUCAUGUCUUAGUUAUCCAGUGCUACUGUAACAGAAAUAUCACAAGUGAAUGGCUUUAACAGACAGAAAUUUGUUUUCUCACAGUUUAGCAGGCUAGAAGUCCAAAUUCAGGGCAUCAGCUCUAGGGGAAGGCUUUCUCUCUCUAUCGGCUCUGGAGGAAGGUCCUUGUCUCUUCAGCUCAUUUUCUGGUUCCUUGGUGAUCUCCUGUGGCAUGGCAUCUAUCUUCCCCCAUCUGUGUUCACUUGCUUCCCUGCUUAAUCUGUUCUUUUAAAUCUCAAAAGAGACUGAUACAAAACAUACCCUACACUACUACUGCCUUAUUAACAUAAAAAAAAAAUUCCCAAAUGGGAUUAUAACCACAGGUACACGAGUUAGGAUUUACAACACAUAUUUUGGGGGGGCACAAUUCAGUCCAUAACAGGGGAAUAUGUCCUCCAACCUUCUGCCCACAAGUCCCUCUUAACCAUCACCAUAUGAGGAAAAGCAUGGAAACAGCUAGAGAUGUUCAGCCUGGAGAAGGGUACAAAGAGGACAGGAUGAUGGAACAUAAAAACUGCCAUAUGCAUGAAGGACAGAUUUGUGGCUUCCCAGGGCAAAGCUAGUGCCAGUGGUAGAAGUUCUAGAAAGCCAGAUUUCUGCUUUACCUAAAAAAAGAACAUUUUUGGGGGCCUAGAGUGAUCCAAAGACUGCCUUGUAAGGCAGGACUGAGUCACUCAUCACUGAGAAUAUUUAAGUGGGAGCUGGAAGCUGUCGUAGAGUGGAUUCCUGAGUUAAGUUGGAGACUGGACAGAUAGCCCCUAAUAUUCCUCCCAACUCCAAGAACCUAUGUGCCUGCCACUUGGGUCUUACUGCUUUUGGAACUGCUUAAAAAGAAUUGCAGUUCCUCCAAUUCAUCCUCAAUAGCAUUUUAUCUAAGCCCAGCCAGAGCUACAGCUGCUAGGAGGCCUCCUUCCCUGCUCACCUUCAGUGGGGACAAGUGUCUUAUUCAUGGCUGUCCAUCUCCUUAUCACAGGAAAACCUCACAAUACAAGCCCUGCCUGGAAUUGAUUUGAGAGCAACAGGUCCCUGAAUAAAAGUCAGGACUGAAAUUCCCACCCUCCCUUGCAGAAAGGGUGAAGUCUUGUGACCUAGGCUCCAAGCUUCAAAUGCUCUUUUGCAAGCCUUGAAUUUGAAAGUGAACGACAUGAAGGGAGGGGGCAGGGAGGAGGUUCUUCGUGGUGCUCCAACACCGUCUGACAGGAGCGUGGGGAGGCAUCUGGCUUUUUAGUGGUGGCAGAGGCAGCUGUUUUCCAGACAUUCUAAGGUCAAGCCCCAGGACCAGAAGUUCCAUUAGUUCUAGCAGUGGCUUCUCAACCAACCAGCAUUUAGUGUUUAUAAGUGGCAGAGGCAACAGCACUUGCCUCAUCAAGUUCUGUGGCAAGGUUUUGGGAGUGCUCCUGGAAGUUUAGCCUCAGCUCUGACUCCUUCCUGCCUGUGACUCUGUAAGCUUCCUAACAUCACUUACGAGAAUGACUUGAUGCUCACCAGACCCAUUUUGUCUUCAUCCUUGGGCAUAUGCACAGCCAGAUUGCCCUCCUCUGCUUCCCUUACAAUUAUGUGGUCACAUGAUUGAGUUUUGACUAAUGGAAUGUGGGUGGACUGAUGUCAAUUCCAUGCCUGAUCCUUAAAACUUCCCUGAAAUCCUCCAUGUUCUUAUCUCCUAGCCAGAUGUAGACGAUCCAGGACCCAGUGGAAGAUGUUAAGAUCCCUAGAAGGUGGUGGAACCGUUAGAUGGAAGGAGCCUGGGUCCUUGAAUCACGUGACUGAGCUGUAAUGUCAGCAAGAAACAAACCUCUAUUUUAUUAAGCCACUUCGAUUUUGGGGUUGUACGUGAUAGCAGUUAGCCUAUUCUGACUAAUUCACUUAGAGAGUCCAUUUUCUGUUGUGCUAGCCAAAGUAGAUUUUAUUUUUUUACAACUAGGAACUCUGAGUGUUUCACUCCCCUCGUUGGUCUCCUGUCAAGAAGUCUGAUUUGCUGAUUUGGCAGUCACACCUGCAAGCUCCCUCAGAAUGGGAGGCACCGGACUGGGCUUAGACUUCCAGCCCUCCUUUUAAUACAGGAUGGAGGUAAGUGAGCAAGCACUCUGGCCAGGAGAGUCCCAGCCUUCCUAGGCCCAGGCCACAAGUCUCUUUGCGGUAAAGUUGGCUCUCAGAUGCUUCUCCUUUUCUCUGCUGGUCAUGAUGGGGCCUGUGUCUUCAUCCCCGCCUCUUUUCUAGUUGCUGAGGGAAGUCAGGCAUGUUCUUCCCAGUAGAGCUGAACCCUGCAUAUGGAAUUCUGCCUCCUCUUUAUUGUACGGUGAAGCCAGCUCUGGGUCAGGAGCCCAGAGAACCAUCUCUAAAAGAAAUUAUCUUGCACCUAACUGAAACCCAGCUUUGAGUUUCUGCAGUACAUACCCUUAGCAUGUCUAUCCAGCUCACUCCUUAAACAGCCCCCUCACUCACUGGUGUUGCCUCUGGCAGCCAUGUUUGCAUCAUGUGACUCAGCCCUCUGGUCACAGUUGAUUGGACAACAGCAGGGCACAUGACCCAAUCUGGGCCAAUCAGAUAUUUUAUGCCUGAAAUCUGGAAAUGCACUUUGAGGCUGGGCUUCUAUGAUGAAUAGAACAGAUGUAAACUGAUAAAUGAUGGGACCACAUUUUACCCGCAGUUUAGACCAAGAACAGUUCUAGAGGAAGCCAAUCUGCUAAGAAUAAUGAAACAGCAGGAGUAGGGAAGAAAAGGGGAGAGAAUGAGAAAGUAGGAACUUUUUGAGCCUUGCUGCAUCCCAGCCAAGGGGUCCAUGAGAAAACCCUCUCUCUAUGAAAUACAUUUGCUUAAGCUAGUUUGAGCCACCUUGUAAAAUUUAAAUAGAAGGGCAUUAAGUGAUACAGGAGGAAUAGUAGAAAAUGUUACCCUACCCAAUGCCGCCUCCUGGAAGCCUCAGCGCCUACCGGUUUGUCAUGAACUGAGAAACCUAAAAACACUCAAACACGGCUGGAGAGAGUAUGGCGGCUGGAUACAUCUCUUGGGGUUUAUCUGUAAGUAGAGCUUAUUAGGAGCCCUGGCUGUGCAGUGGCUAAGAGUUCGGCUGCUAACCAAAAGGUUGGCAGCUGGAAUCCACCAGCCGCUCCUUGGAAACCCUAUGCAGCAGUUCUACUCUGUCCUGUAGGGUGGCUAUUAGUUGGAAUUGACUUGACUUGGGUUUGGGUUUUUUGUUUGUUUCGAGCUGGAGAGGAUAUUAGCAUUUCUGUAGUCCAACAACCUUACUUCAUGGCAGAGAAAACCCAAGCCCAGAGAGGAAUAGCAACUGACCCAAACUGGCACAGCCAGUCGGGGCUGGGACUAGAACCCUACUCCCAGCCUCCCAGCUGCAAGGCUGAUUUAAAUUCCGUUUCGAAUUAGCAUCCUUUUCCCACAUUUGGCUCCAGGGCGCAGGGGCCAGGCGGUAGCUAUCAGGAUAAGCAAGCACGUGUUGCUAGGCUGGAGACAAAUGAUGCGGCUAAUUCUCCGUGCCCGGCUUGUUCUCGCGCCCCUGUGACGCAGCCCUUCCCGAGCACUUGUGCGGACUCGGCGGCCCGCCGCGGGAGCAGCUGCAGAGGCCGGGGCCUCCCUGGGAAGACGGGGGAGGCUCCAGACCCCACCCCCAGCCCUGCGCUGCGGGGGCAGCCAGCACUCGGCAGCCAGGGGAGGGCCCAGCCCAGCCGGGGCAUUCAGAGUUAAUUAGCCUUCAUGAAUAUGGAUGCCACCGCCGAUUUAAUACGGUUGGGAGGUCGUAACCUGACCUCAGCGAGACAUGCAUAAAGAAAAUACUACUUUUCUCAGCUCGGUUCCUAAUUGAAAGCCUGAGUUGUCAGACGCGGUGCUGUGGGUGUGAGCGUGUCCCCCGCCCCCCGGCUCUCGGUGCAGAAGCAACACUGACAAGAGCCCGCUCUCCCAGGCCCGGUGGCCUUGCCUAAGCGCGCCCAUUAUCAGUCACUUUAAUGAACUACAGGAAACUGCAUUUACAUCACGUUAUUACCUAAUUGAUGAACUAUGUGAGUCGACGUGGAGCUACUUUGAGAUUCUUCAGUGGCGAUUAGUGACAAUCACUGGGCACUGAGGGGCGUUGGAGAGCGGUACACUGCAUGCUGUAGUGCAGUGGUUUGGUCCAUUUUGAGAAUGAAACGUCUGGUCCUGCACCAUCCUCACUAUUGUUCCUAUGUUGGAGCCAUUGUUGCAGCCACCAUGCCAGUCCAUCUCAUUGAGGAGUUUCAUCUUUUUCACUGACUGUCUGCUUUACCAAACAUGAUAUCCUUUUCUAGUGAUUGGUUUUUCCUGAUGAUAUGUCCAAAGUAAGCAAGACAAAGUCUCACCAUCCUCACUUCUAAGGAGCAUCCUGGCUGUACUUCCUCCAAGACUGAUUCAUUUGCUCUCUGGCGGUCCUCAGUGUAUUCAAUAUUCUUCACGAAGGCCACAGUUUGAACACAAUAGGCAUACGAUAGGCGCAUGAAUGGAAAAGCUGGAAGCACUAGGAUUUUGUUGAUGUCACUAAAGACUUAACUCUGCGUGUGCUGAUUUCUGAUGCUGCCCAGGCUGUGCGCAGUCCAGAUGGUGUGGGUAGUCACAGCCAAUUUAAAAGAAGUGAUGCCCAAAUAGAUAUAAAUCCCUCCUGGACACCCAGCUACUGUCUCUCUGCUCUCAUUUCUGCCAGAACAAGCCACUUUCAGAGACAACACACUGCCAGACUGAGCCAAAAAGCUCCCAGAGUUUGAUGCAUAGUGCCUGGCAUCUUAAAAGCUUGCAAAUGGCCAUCCAAGCUGCAAGUCUGUUCACCUGGAGCAACAGAGGAAGAAGGAGAGUCAGAAAUAGGAGGAGGAUAUGGAAUAUGUGGCUAAUUGCCUCUACGUACAACUGCCUCCUCCACCGUGAGAUGAGGAGAACUGCAUGGUGCCCAGCUACCAUAACUGAACAUUUUGAUCAAAGAUUUCAUAGAAGAAUCCUGAUCAAAAGGGGGAAAAUGCAGAACAGAAUUUCAGAUUCUCAUGGACUCUAGACUUUCUGGAGCCAUGGAGGGUGGCUGAACCCCUGAAAUCAUUGCCCUGAGAUAACCUUUAAACCUUAAACCAAAAAUAUCCCCUGAAGUCAUCUUAAAACCGAACAGCAGUUUAACUUAACUAGUAAAAAAAAGGUCUGUCUUGAGCAUUAUGCUCUUUUAAGAACUAUCUAUAUGGGACCAAAUUGACAACAGCAACUUGGAAGAUUAGAUAAGAACCUUAGGAGGCAGUGAGUUUAUGUUAAUGAGGGAAGAACAACUCAGAAAAAGAGGGCGAGAAUGGUUGCACAACUUGAAGAAUGUAAUCAAUAUCACUAAACUGUUGAAUUGGUAUAUGUUUUGCUGUGUAUGGAAACCCUGGUGGCGUAGUGGUUAAGUGCCACAGCUGCUAACCAAGAGGUCAGCAGUUUGAAUCCGCCAGGCACUCCGUGGAAACUAUGGUACAGUUCUACUCUGUCCUGUAGGGUCACUAUGAGUCGGAAUUGACUCGACGGCACUGGGUUUGGUUUUUUGGGUUUGCUGUGUAUAUUCUCAAUGACAUAAUAAAUGAGACUUAGAAAAACGAACAAACAAACAAACAAAAAAGGCAGAACACCAGCCCUGAGCUGAAAGGCUCCCCAGCCCUCUAAUAUGAGGAGGAAGUGAGAGGAGUGAGUGAUUACAGACUGACAAACUCCAAGGACAUUUGUCCCUAGAAGAUAAGAAUCUAGGGACCUCUAAACAGUUAUAAAAGGUAUCACAUUCAGAGGUCUUGCUUGGGUCUUUCCAGGCACCUCGGGUAAGGCAAGUCAAUGUGGUGCUGCUCUGAAGGUUGGGGGCAGGUCCAGGUCCCAAGGACCACCGCACCAGGGCCAUCUCACUCAGGGAUACCUCCUCAGGCCACCUGGGAAGGCCUUCUUUGAGCCAAUUCUGGUUCAGACUAAGGAGACAAUGCCUGUUUUCUGUUACAUACUAUGGCCUCUGAUACUACUUGGACAGUUACCUCCAGACCUUGGCAGAUGUCCUAACCCCACCCGUCCCCCUGUUUCAAAGGGCCACUGUCAACAUCCCACUCGCACCCGCCCUCCUUUCAGGAGACAUUCCAGGUCAACCCAGAAGGAGUCAGAACUGAACCACCCACCUGCUGUAAGGCCAGGGAUGCCCCCAGCUCAGCACCAGCCUAGUAAAGUAGCCUGGAGCUCAUAAAUCCUGUCUCCAGCACAGUCCCAAAAACUCCAAGGCAGCAUGCUCUCUUGUUCAUCUUUGUUUUUUCUUUAAUUGAAAUAAAGUUUAUUUACUUGUCAGAACAAUCAAGUUAUGCCUAAUUUUUGUUGUUGUUAUUGUUUUUAAAUUUUAUUUAUUUUGUCGUUGAGAAUAUAUACAGCAAAACAUACAUCCAUUUGGCACUUUUUACAUGUACAGGUCAGUAUUGGCACUUUUUACAUGUACAGGUCAGUGACAUUGAUUACAUUCUUGAAGUUCUCGUUCAUCUUGAUAUUUUGUUCAAUACGAGUUUCCGUGAUACUUCUUUGCCUGUCUUCGAAGAGCCGUGCAGCUAGGAGCUCCUCUCUUAGGCUCUGAAACUAAAUAUAUGCUGAAAUGUUGAUGUGAAACUUCUAGAAAAAGGAAGAAUUUCAGGAUUUGUUGACUAGUGCAAGUGAGACUCUGCAGUUCUCUAUUAUUUGUGACUCUCCUUAUUUCACAGGAAAAUGGUUUUCCAAAAAGACCCACAGUGACUGUGUUAAGUUGGUGCCUGGUCCAAAGUAAAGCCAUGAAAUCCUUGCUACCAUCCUUCCACCCUCAUGAGCCAGGUUUAAUAAACCAGAGCACAGCAAGUCCCCAGCUAAUCAGAACCUACAAAGCAGCUGGUGAGAAAUGAGGAAGAAUAUGGACUCCUGCUAUGACAACAUCUCCCUCCACCCGUCUUCUCAUUGAAGAUGGUCCUAGAGUGAGGUGGGCUGUGGGCUGUGGGCCAGGGCCCUGAACACCUUGUGCUGAAUGCUGAGACCCACUGAGGCAGGUUGGGGAGCACUGUUACCACCGGACAAGUCUUUGUUAAGCAUCUGUCCCUUGCCCGGCCUUGUCCUGGAGCUGCAAGAAAUGAGAAGGAGGGCCUCAUCCCUGUCCUUGGCAAAAGGAAGCCGUUUCUCUUCGUGGAACCAUAGUCCGUCAGACUAUGCCUCAGUGAAGUGGAGGGGUGCUUUAUAAAGAGCAUCUUGAGCAGAGAAAGCAACUCAAGUAAGCUCAGAAGGGGCAGCAGAGGGGGCCCCAGGGAUGGCAAAGCUGGUGGGUGAGCCCCUGCUACAGUUUGAAUUGUUGUUGUUGUUAGAUGCUGUCAAGUCACCUUCAAUUCAUGGUGACCCCACAUGCAACGGAAGGAAAUGCUGUGUGGUCCUGUACCAUCUUCAUGAUUGCCAGCAUGUUUGAGUUCAUUGUUGCCUUCCAACCUAGGGCUUCGUUUUCCAGCACUAUAUUGAACAAUGUUCUGUUGUGAUCCAUAGGGUUUUUACUGGUUUAUUUUUGGACUUAGAUCACCAGGCCUUUCUUCCUAGCCUGUCUUAGUCCAGAAGCUCUGCUGAAACCAGUCCACCAUGGGUGACCUUGUUGAUACUUGAAAUACCGGUGGCAUAGCUUCCAGCAUCACAGCAACAUACAAGUUACCAAAUACAACAAACUGACAGAUGGGUGGUGAAUUGUUUGAAUGGUGUCCCCCCAAAAAGAUAGGCUGAAGUCCUAACCCCUGGAGCCAAUGAACAUGACCUCUUUUGGAAAUUGGGUCUUUGAAGAUAUUACCAUUUCAGUUAAAGUGAGGUCAUGCUGGAGUAGAGGGGGCCCUAACCCAAUCUGAGUGGUGUUUUUAUAAAAAACGAGAAGAGGCACAGAGAGACAGACUGGGGGUGGACAGCUUUGUGAACAUGGAGGCAGAGGUGGAGUGAUGCCACAGCUGCAAGCCAAGGAAUGCUUGGGGCCACCAGAAGCUGAGAGAGACAAGAAAGGCUCUUAUCCUAGAGCCCUCGGAGGAAACGUGGCCCAACUGACACGCUGAACUCAGACUACCAGUUUCCAGAACUGUGAGAGAAUAAAUUUCUGUUCUUAAAAGCCACCCGGUUUGUGGUAUUUUGUUAAGACAGCCCCAUGAAACCUGUACAGCCCCGCACGACUGUUCCUCCCCCAGCUCUGAAGGCAGAGAUGCUAACCAGAUUCCUGGGUAUGUGCACGCCUGUUUUUCUAGUGCUGACUUUAAACAUUCGCAGGCCAGAUAGAAUUCCAAGAUGACUGCCUGCCUCCUGAGCCCCGAGAGCAGGCACAGGAGCC